rnacentral:rRNA from 1 species
UACAGGGACUGCAAGCGUUAUUCGGAUUCACUGGGCGUAAAGGGUGCGCAGGCGGCCGUGUGUGUCAGGUGUGAAAGCCCGGGGCUUAACCCCGGAAUUGCGCCUGAAACUACAUGGCUAGAGCAUUGGAGAGGGUAGCGGAAUUCACGGUGUAGCAGUGAAAUGCGUAGAUAUCGUGAGGAACACCAGAGGCGAAGGCGGCUACCUGGACAAUUGCUGACGCUCAGGCACGAAAGCGUGGGGAGCAAAAGGG